CAUGCAAGUCGAGGGGCAGCGGGAUUGAAGCUUGCUUCAAUUGCCGGCGACCGGCGCACGGGUGAGUAACGCGUAUCCAACCUUCCGCUUACUCGGGGAUAGCCUUUCGAAAGAAAGAUUAAUACCCGAUGGUAUCUUAAGCACGCAUGAGAUUAAGAUUAAAGAUUUAUCGGUAAGCGAUGGGGAUGCGUUCCAUUAGGCAGUUGGCGGGGUAACGGCCCACCAAACCUACGAUGGAUAGGGGUUCUGAGAGGAAGGUCCCCCACAUUGGAACUGAGACACGGUCCAAACUCCUACGGGAGGCAGCAGUGAGGAAUAUUGGUCAAUGGGCGAGAGCCUGAACCAGCCAAGUAGCGUGAAGGAUGACGGCCCUACGGGUUGUAAACUUCUUUUGUGCGGGAAUAAAGGAACCUACGUGUAGGUUUUUGCAUGUACCGUAACGAAUAAGCAUCGGCUAACUCCGUGCCAGCAGCCGCGGUAAUACGGAGGAUGCGAGCGUUAUCCGGAUUUAUUGGGUUUAAAGGGAGCGUAGACGGGUUUUUAAGUCAGCUGUGAAAGUUUGGGGCUCAACCUUAAAAUUGCAGUUGAAACUGGAGACCUUGAGUACGGUUGAGGCAGGCGGAAUUCGUGGUGUAGCGGUGAAAUGCUUAGAUAUCACGAAGAACCCCGAUUGCGAAGGCAGCCUGCUAAGCCGCCACUGACGUUGAGGCUCGAAAGUGCGGGUAUCAAACAGGAUUAGAUACCCUGGUAGUCCGCACGGUAAACGAUGGAUACUCGCUGUUGGCGAUAGACUGUCAGCGGCCAAGCGAAAGCGUUAAGUAUCCCACCUGGGGAGUACGUCGG
rnacentral:rRNA from 1 species